GUGAUUUAUGAUGUCACAUGCACCUUUUCUGAGAGGUAAGAUGGUGGAACCAAUGGAUGUCUGUGAAGAGACCCAAGCUGUUCAGCAAUCUGAUAACUAAUCACAGUUGUUGGCGGACAAAGAGCCUUCACUUUCUCCUUGGUAAAACUUGUCCUUGUCAAACAAUAUGUCCCAGUCCUUCCCGCUGCACAGCUAGCCUGCUUUGUAGCUGAGAUGGGCAUUACAGUGGGGAUUGCACUGAGGCCGCUCGUCAAGCAGUCAAUUUUGAAGCUGUUAGCUUUGCAGUCUGGAAGUAAAUAUAAAAACUUAGGAACCACUUUGCAUCCUUUCACCCAAGUAAACAAGUUCAGCUAAAGAAGAUUAGUCCAACGCCAAACCGAAAAUAGACCAAACAUGGACAGCACUGUCAUGACAAAGCAAAACAUACAACUAUCCAGUUACUCCAGUUGACACCCAAUCAGUGCAGGAACUCUGGACACAUACUGAACAGUGAUUUAACUAUUGCCUGCUUGGCUUGUGGAGCUGGCAGGUGUGUGACAGUGAAACUGAAUCUGUUCUUAUAAAAACAUUUACGAUGAGGCUCGUUACCACUUCAAAAAGAAACGGGUAGGAACCGCUCACAGUCGGAUAGAGAGCAGUUCAACAACAUCCAUUUCCUGGCAUCUGGACCUCACAGGUUUAGCUGCAAGUUCAAGACUUGAAAACUGGAUACUGUCCAAUCCAAGCUAUUACGCCUUGGUUUUGCAAAGAUUAAAGAAAGGAAUGCCUAAUUAUUGUGGAAGAUCGUGUGUGUGCUUUGUGCCUUAGCUAAGAAUUCUCAGUGCCAAGGAAUUUAAUGCCAAGGUUCUGAAAACCUAAUGGUGCCAUUAGAGAAUUUAGCUUUAAGAAGGAACUGAGAGAAUUUAUAUAAUGUUAAUUGCUUUGGCACAGUGAAAUGGGGUACUGUUGGCAUUCCAUGUUUUCUAAAGUGACUAAUUAAACUGAGAAUAAAAGGCUGAAAUGAAGCUCUGCAUCAAUACAAAAAUAUCCCUUUUACAUAAAGCCAUUUGACCUAAUAGUCUUUCAAACUUCAGAGCAUUUUGUAAUAUUCCAUUGAAAAUGUUUCAACAAUGUUGUUUUAAUGAGUUUAACGCUCUUGUACUAGCUUGCAGCUAAAAUGAGAUUUAAGCCUGGAAUGUAAUGUUUAUCUUAGUCUUGCUUAGGUAAAUUCUCAGAAAAUAAAACAAAUAUAUAGCAUAUAUUUCCGUUACUUACAGGAACUAAGGACUUAAAUAGGCAAUAGAUUCUCAGUCUUUUACAACAUGUACAAAUAGUCACCGAUCAGUAUAGGAUUAAUUAGAUGCAUCCCGAAAGCAGGCUCAAAGUACACGGCAUCCAGUCGAUUAACGCAGACUCAUGUAACUAAGUAAAAGCAACUACAACUGAAUGAAGGUUCGAAUAGGUUUAAUAAUAUUCCACAAGU